GAUGAAGAAACGUAGCGAAAUGCGAUAAGUAAUGUGAAUUGCAGAAUUCAGUGAAUCAUCGAAUCUUUGAACGCACAUUGCGCCCGCUAGUAUUCUGGCGGGCAUGCCUGUCCGAGCGUCAUUUCAACCCUCAAGCCCCCGGGCUUGGUGUUGGGGAUCGGCGAGCCUCCGCGCCCGCCGUCCCCUAAAUCUAGUGGCGGUCUCGCUGUAGCUUCCUCUGCGUAGUAGCACACCUCGCACUGGGAAACAGCGCGGCCACGCCGUUAAACCCCCAACUUCUGAACGUUUGACCUCGGAUCAGGUAGGAAUACCCGCUGAACUUAAGCAUAUCAAUAAGCGGAGGA
rnacentral:misc_RNA from 1 species